GCGGAAACAGAAGUUUGCGGCGGCGGAAAAGUAUUUUCGAGGCUCCCCUGAUUUUUUGCGGAAUAUUUGGGAAUUUAUAGGCCAAACACCUAGGUCAGGGGGCGGCCAGGGAGGCCACAAGCCUGCCCACCGCCGCCUCCCCCUGGUGGCGGAGUGGGGGCUUGUGGGCUCCCUAGAGCCCACCUGGCUUGGCCCAAAAGCCCCCUGGUCUUCUUCC
rnacentral:lncRNA from 1 species